CACGCCGUAAACGAUGAGUAUUAGGUGUUGGUGAGAAUCAGUGCCGGAGUUAACACAAUAAAUACUCCGCCUGGGGAGUACGGUCGCAAGACUGAAACUCAAAGGAAUUGACGGGACCCC
rnacentral:rRNA from 1 species